rnacentral:rRNA from 1 species
ACGAACGCUGGCGGCAUGCCUAACACAUGCAAGUCGAACGAGACCUUCGGGUCUAGUGGCGCACGGGUGCGUAACGCGUGGGAACCUGCCCUUAGGUUCGGAAUAACUCCCCGAAAGGGGUGCUAAUACCGGAUAAUGUCUUCGGACCAAAGAUUUAUCGCCUUUGGAUGGGCCCGCGUUGGAUUAGCUAGUUGGUAGGGUAAAAGCCUACCAAGGCGACGAUCCAUAGCUGGUCUGAGAGGAUGAUCAGCCACACUGGGACUGAGACACGGCCCAGACUCCUACGGGAGGAAGCAGUGGGGAAUAUUGGACAAUGGGCGAAAGCCUGAUCCAGCAAUGCCGCGUGAGUGAUGAAGGCCUUAGGGUUGUAAAGCUCUUUUACCCGGGAUGAUAAUGACAGUACCGGGAGAAUAAGCGCCGGCUAACUCCGUG